rnacentral:rRNA from 1 species
GUGUCAGCCGCCGCGGUAAUACGUAGGGUGCAAGCGUUAAUCGGAAUUACUGGGCGUAAAGCGCGCGUAGGUGGUUUGUUAAGUUGGAUGUGAAAUCCCCGGGCUCAACCUGGGAACUGCAUUCAAAACUGACUGGCUAGAGUAUGGCAGAGGGGGGUGGAAUUCCACGUGUAGCAGUGAAAUGCGUAGAGAUGUGGAGGAACACCGGUGGCGAAGGCAGCCCCCUGGGCCAAUACUGACGCUCAUGCACGAAAGCGUGGGUAGCAAACAGGAUUAGAUACCCUGGCAGUCCACGCCCUAA